rnacentral:lncRNA from 1 species
CCUGAGCUAGAUGAAGGAGUUUCAGACCUAGGGGUGAACGACACAUGGCUGGUUGGAGCUUGCUGGGCUAGAGCUGGGACAGAGCAUCUUCCUGUGUUGGGUUGUGCAUCUCCAUCCAACAUCUCUCACUGGGCAGAUGCAGCAUGAAAUCAUUGUCUUGAGGGUGAUGAGGAAAAGUAAGAGAGGAAGGGGGACAUGCAUUAACCAUGGGGUUGUUGCCCCAUGUUGUGCCACUUUUGACCUGGGAGUUCAGAGACAUUUAGUUCUCCUUGUGUUUCCUUGCUGGUCUGGGAACAAGCAUGCAUGGAAAGAGAUGGGGACAGAAAAGCAGGGUGAGAAACCAAAGCUGAGAGCUCCUGCUCCCACCACAGCCAGUUCUGACCAGCCAGACCAGAGCUCCACUGGAGAAGGACAAUGCAAAACUUUGGCUUUCUCUCUCCAAACCAGCAGGCAUGAGGCUGCUCCAGCAUGGAUGUGUUGCAGAUGUGCUGAUAGCAGUGAGCUGAGUGCUGACACUGCUGUGGAGGGGCUGCAGGAGAACCUUUGGAACCACCCUCACCAGAGACCACAGUGGACAAAAUAAAACCUUUAAAGGCUCAAGGUAGUUAAUACAAAUUAAUUAAAAGCUCACAACAUUUUAUUUAAAUAAAAAAAAAAGGCUAUUGAAAUGAACCUCA